GACGAACGCUGGCGGCGUGCUUAACACAUGCAAGUCGAACGGAAAGGCCCUGCUUUUGUGGGGUGCUCGAGUGGCGAACGGGUGAGUAACACGUGAGUAACCUGCCCUUGACUGUGGGAUAACUUCAGGAAACUGGGGCUAAUACCGGAUAGGAGCUCCCGCAGCAUGGGGGGGGUUGGAAAGUUUCGGCGGUGGGGGCUGGACUCGCGGCUUAUCAGCUGGAUGGUGGGGUAGUGGCUUACCAAGGCUUCGACGGGUAGCCGGCCUGAGAGGGUGACCGGCCACAUUGGGACUGAGAUACGGCCCAGACUCCUACGGGACGCAGCAGUGGGGAACAUUGCGCAAUGGGCCGACGCCUGAUGCAGCAACGCCGCGUGCGGGAUGACGGCCUUCGGGUUGUAAACCGCUUUCGCCUGUGCCGAAGCGUGAGUGACGGUACUGGGUAAAGAAGCCCCGGCUAACUACGUG
rnacentral:rRNA from 1 species